AAAUGUCCAGCUUUGUCCAAGAGGAAGUAGAAGCGCCGGCCUUUGAUCUUUAGAGGCAACAUAGCGGGGACUUCACCGCGGUGGGCCAUGCAGGAUACCUGAUUUAAAGGGACGGUGAAAUGAGCACCCAAGCCAAAGGGGGCAUGAGUGGUGAGGGUCACCUGCUUCCCUCCAGCCCGGAGCAUCACUGAACGCACAGAACGGAGGGAGAAGAGAAGACCAGCACCAAGUACCAGGGUACCUGCAGGAAAACCAAAGCUUGGGGUGAGGGGUUUUCACUGGAGAGGCAAGGAGACCGGUCCGGAGCUCGCAGAAUGAGGGGCACAGCUCCUCCUAGCCUGAAGGUCGGGAGUCCCGCCCCGUCCGUGCCGGAGCAGGGCGGGUCGUGCCCUGCCGCCCCACGUCCCCGUGGCGGGAAGCCAGCCCGCGCCUUACCAAUGGCGCCGCAACCGACAGCCAGACCGUAGCGCCAGAGUGUGGAGCGUAGGUCCAAGCGGCCGCGGUCUGGGAUCUCGGCGUCUGGAGGCAGCGCCCGGGCCGGCGGUCGGGCCAAGGCUGCCACGGCCAGAGAGGCCCAGAAGACGCCCUGGCCCGCGCAGAACAGGCCGAGGACGGCGAAGAAGCUGCCCCGCUCGUGCUCAAAGAGCAGCACGUCCCGCGGCGGGGCCACGUCGUGCAGGAGCUGGCGCGCCGGCAGAGACCGCAGUGCGACUAGCAGCCGCACGGAACACAAGCCCCCAGGUGCCCCCAUGGCCCGUGCGGCUACGGCGCCGCUUCCGGGGUAGGACUUCCGGCUGGAAAGCCCCGCCCCUGAGCUUCCGGGCAAUUGGCCCUGGUUAGUCCCUGGCGGCAACAGGGUGGGGGCCCUUCACCCCAGACCCGCGCGCGUGCUCGGCAAGAGCGAGGCAAAAACAAUGUAGCAAGCAGGACACAAAAUACAAUAUCACUCUUUAUCUUAAAAAGUAGGGCAGGUUUGGGGGUUAAGUACACAGAGCACCUAAGUCCUUCGGGGAGUUUAGUGUCAGUUCUACAAAGUAAGCUUUGGCUUCCUGGCACCAGUGAGGCUCAAUCUUCUGGAAGGCUUCCAGAAGUCUUCCAGAAGGCAGGUGAGGAGAGGGAUCCAGCAGCCCUUCCUCUUGAGUCACAGUCACGGGGUGGCCUCGGGGCCAGAGAGGAGACGACAGCCAUGACAAGGAGACAUCAAUAUCCAAGGGCUAUUUUACAGGGAGCUUCUUCUGGGGCAGGACUACAGAUCACUUCAUAAACGCCACUUCUGGGAUCUCGCCCUUGGCCUUAGAAAAAAAGAAAAGGUCAGAUCCAGGCCCUCUCCCCCAUUCCCUCCCCUGGCUUGACCUCUUAAGGCCCAGAGAUCCCUCGCCUUUUUGCUACUGAAGUCCCCAAACUUACCUUGAGAUGAGUAAAGGCCUGGGCAGAUCUGGUGUAGUCCCAGUUGUUGUCUUGAAGGCACCUGGAGUGGUGGAAGAGCAGGAACCCCCCAUCAGAACCAGAAUAACGCACUCACCCUGACCACUUCAAAAUCCACCCUAUUAACCCCCACCAUAUGUGCCAACAAUUCUAUACACUCUUGCACUAUGUGUUACAAAUGAAAAAUUAGUAAAAAUCCAAAUGUC